GCCUGGAUGGUGGAAUUGGUAGACACGCCAGCUUGAGGGGCUGGUGGGGGAAACUCCGUGCUGGUUCGAGUCCAGUUCCAGGCACCA
rnacentral:tRNA from 1 species